AUUGAACGCUGGCGGCAUGCCUUACACAUGCAAGUCGAACGGCAGCACGGGUGCUUGCACCUGGUGGCGAGUGGCGAACGGGUGAGUAAUACAUCGGAACAUGUCCUGUAGUGGGGGAUAGCCCGGCGAGAGCCGGAUUAAUACCGCAUACGAUCUACGGAUGAAAGCGGGGGACCUUCGGGCCUCGCGCUAUAGGGUUGGCCGAUGGCUGAUUAGCUAGUUGGUGGGGUAAAGGCCUACCAAGGCGACGAUCAGUAGCUGGUCUGAGAGGACGACCAGCCACACUGGGACUGAGACACGGCCCAGACUCCUACGGGAGGCAGCAGUGGGGAAUUUUGGACAAUGGGCGAAAGCCUGAUCCAGCAAUGCCGCGUGUGUGAAGAAGGCCUUCGGGUUGUAAAGCACUUUUGUCCGGAAAGAAAUCCUUGGCUCUAAUACAGUCGGGGGAUGACGGUACCGGAAGAAUAAGCACCGGCUAACUACGUG
rnacentral:rRNA from 1 species